AACACUUUUUCAGUAAAAAGAUCAAUGAACUAAAUUUAUAUUUUCUUGCGGCCACAACUUCCUGUGCAGUGAUGAGGGGAGGUGGAGCAUGGCCCCUCCCCUGGGGCUGCCCUCCUCUGCCAGAGGAACAGGCAGCUGGUGCGAGUUCCCCACCUUCCUAGGAGUGGUGGAGCUCAGGCUUCCGGUUUUAGCUCUGUAGUGGCAAGGGCCAGGCUCCAGCCACAGGGCUUCAGGCUCCAUCUCCCAUCGAGGGGGGGGGCUUCAGGCUACAGCCCUGGGCUCAUCCCCAUCCAUUGCCCUUGGCCCCCACUACCUCCCUACCCAUCUCUCCAUCCAUGGCUUACCGGGGCUGCAUAAGUCUGCUGUGAAAACUGUGAAAAGUGAUACAUACAAAAAUACAUAUAUCAGUUUUCACAAAAGCAGCCUUAUUAGCUAUCAAGGCUUAAAGAAAAAAAAAGCAGCCAAAAAAGCAAAAGAAACAACAACAAA